UAUUUUCAUAAAUUCUAGAAACGUGUAAAGUUACUUCUUGAUGAAGUUUGAGAUAAAUUCUUGACUUGAGAUAUGGUCUUGUAAGUACAAUAAUUCACUACGUUCCUUGUGUUUGAUUAAUAAAGUUGUAUACUAUAAUCAUCAAAAUGUAUUUUUCAAAAAAAUUAAAUAUCUGGAUAACUGAUAAUGGUGAUAAAAAUAUAUGGAGUUACGACAAGGAUUCUAGAUUUUUGGAUUGUCGUCUUUGUAAUUUUGGAACUAAAGUCAAGAAUAAGUUCAAAGAGGAGCAACACAGUAAACCCAAACUCACAUAUAACCAAAAUAAUCUCCUAAUAAUAUAUAUUUGACAUUUCAACUUUUUCAAAUAGUAUAGAAUUAAAGCUUAAGGAAAAACAAAAAAUCCAUUGCUGAAGGUUAUCAGAUUAGGAUUUAGUGUUUCUGAAAUCUUCAUCUAAAAUAAAGGACACAGUGACUGGACAAUUUAAUUGCUUGCUCGAACUUCAUAAGAUUAUUAAGAGACUUACAAUGACUUUGCUUCAUCAAUAUUUCAAGAAAGUUAGAUGCCAAUUCAGAAUUCAAGAAAUAUGAGAAAUAUGGAUACCUUUUAUAAACGAUCGGAACAACGGGAUAGAGACAAUUAAAUGAAGCGUAUUGUUGUUUUAAAAACGUUAAUUUUAUAUUAAUUCAACUAUAAACUUACCAUUUACAUAGUCUAUUCUAAAUAGUCUCAAAUUAUUUUAUUUUAAACCACAAAACCUAACCAAAUAAGGAAAUUUGUAUUUAAUAUGGUGAUUACUUUGUAUACUUUCAUAAUACAAUUUUUAAAAACUGAAAUAUAUUGUUAAAAUUUA
rnacentral:lncRNA from 1 species